rnacentral:lncRNA from 1 species
UGAUACCUUAUGUAUUUUAUUCCAACAACAUUUGGUUUAUAAAGGAAUACAAACAGGCACAAAACAUGAUUCAGAAGAUUUAUUAAGUAAACUUGGUAAAAUAUGGACAGAUGCACUUAGCAGUCAAACAGCUGAAUAUUCAUUGCUACCUCAUUCAGGUUUUUGUAUCUGUAUUACCAGGUACGAACAUAAAAACCUCUCUUCAAAAAAUAAAUGUUCAGAGAACUGUAUGUUAUUUGUUCUUGUACGUACAUUAAAAAAAAAAAAACUUUUCAGUCUUGCUAACCAAGAAUAUUAGUCAUAUUCUAUUCUAUGACUUAUAAUUUUUUUCCCCAAGUACAACCUAUCUUUUGCUCCCAAAGCAGUUCUGAAGGUUUUAUUUAUAUUUUAUCUUAUCUUGAAGGACCAACAGCAGGCAUACCUUUGCCAGGCCUUCUUGCAGAAAGACACAGAGCCAUGAAGGCAAAAAUAAAAUUGCAAUAAAGUAUACGGUAUUGGGGGCAGGGAGAACCAGAAACCCUCAAAGAGAACCAAUUUGUAACACGUUCUUUUUUAAGGCUCUACCCCUGUAGAAGUAAGAAACUAGCCUGCCUUUUUAGCCACAUGAGAAUUUCCUCCAGAGCCAUCUUCCAAAGUAGCAGACUUGGCCAAGUUGACCAAUGCCAAAUAGGUGACUUGGAAGUUUGUUUGCUUCAAACGCACUGCAGUUGGAAACCAGACUUGAAAUAAUCUAAGCCCCACAGAAAAGCUUCAUGAAACAAAGGAAGUGUUACUUUCCUAGAGAAUAAGAAAGUCACAAGAUUGAGGAGUCUUUGUUCUAAAGUUCUUUGCUCCUUGAUGUCCAAGUUAACACAAACACAAUCUUAGCUUAACAAAACUAAGUAAUUUUUGUUUAUGAUUAUAGAACUGCAGGAUUAACUAUUAUUAGAGACAUUCCACACUGCACACUCCAGUCGUAUCUCUUAACAAAACGACAUAAAUUGACAAUGUUCACUAACAGUAUUUGCUGUUACACUGAAAAGGCACAUCAAUGUUGUCAUGCUUAGAAAAAUACACGACACUGAACACUGGAUGAUGUAGUUAGCACAUACAUUUUUAGAUGUUCCAUUUUUCUUUUCUGCCUGAUCACUAUUAUUUUUACUUCUUAAUAUAUGAUUCAAGACAUAAUUUCAUUCCUCAUUUUCAUUUAAAACUUGUCUUCACAUUGAUGUGAACAACUUUCAGGAAUCUAAAAAAUCAUAGUUUCAGACAACCUAAAAUAAACAUAUUCCUAGAAAACACUUGGAUGAUCUGCAAACAGAUCAAAGAUAUAGUCAGAUAUUGAAGUCAGAGCAUCUGUUUUUAGCCUCUUGUUUCUUUUUCUAAAACUUGAAGUAGAUGGCGAUUAACCUUAUCAUGUUUAAACAACCUUGACAGUGUAAGGUACAUGUACCCUCAGUUUUCUUUCAUCCAGUAAGACAAUCAAGUAUGCAUCUUAAAGGGAAAGCUUUUAGUUCAUAACAAUAUGUUUGGUUGCUUUUCUCUGCUUUCAGAACAUUUACUAUUUUUCCCUUAUUGGCUUUAGUGUCUGCUGCCAACCAGAUAACGUGUUAACAUACAAUUUACAACUCUUCUAGGUAGGUGAUUACAUAGGAAACUAACGCCAGCUAAGAUUUAUGGAUUCAAAAGAUAACUGACACAAGUUCUUGUCCUCUACACUUGAGAGAACUAGCUCUGUAACUCAUAAAUAUAUUGAUAGUAACUACAAGUUAAAUAACACUCAUGCAGUGUCACUAUAUAACUUGCUGUCUUACUUGAUUCUGUUUUUCAGACUUCAUUCUAGUUUCUCUUUGUUAGAAGAGUCUCAGAGAUAAUGUGUGCUUUAAUUUUAAACACUCAUUACCAAUAUGAUUUUUGCCCAAAUGUUUGCUAAUGUAAGUUAAAAAAUUAUAUUUGGUUUGGAUUCAAAUAUUUAUAGAUUUACACAAUACCUAUUUCAUCAAAAUAUAUUGUAUGAUAUUUAAUAAAAUCAAAUACAUAAAAUAAAGUUUCAACACUAUUUAUAC